rnacentral:rRNA from 1 species
AGGAUAAACGCUGGCGGCGUGCCUAACACAUGCAAGUCGAACGUCUCUUUCUUCGGGAAGAGGAGUGGCGGACGGGUGAGGAACACGUGGGAACCUGCCCUACAGUGAGGAAUACCGGCGAGAAAUCGCCGACAAGACCGCAUAGCCCUCUCUGGUGAGAGCCAGAGAAGGAAAGCUUCGCAAGAGGCGCUGGAGGAGGGGCCUGCGUCCGAUUAGCUAGUUGGUGGGGUAAGAGCCUACCAAGGCGUCGAUCGGUAGCUGGUCUGAGAGGACGAUCAGCCACACUGGGAUUGAGAACGGCCCAGACUCCUACGGGGGGCAGCAGUGAGGAAUUUUCGGCAAUGGGGGAAACCCUGACCGAGCAACGCCGCGUGCAGGAGACGGCCUCGGGUUGUAACUGCUUUUCUUUGGGACGAGCAAGGACGGUACCAGAGGAAUCAGCCCGGCUCACUACGUGCCAGCAGCCGC